UCGCUAGCUUUAGACGCCUGUGGGUCGGUUUUCGUAGCAGUGACUGAAAGCAUGGCUUUAUUUUCGUAACAUUUGUGGCGGAAAUCUUGUUCUCACUGCCAUAUGCGAUUCGGAUUGUUAAUGAGAAUCUGCUCAAAAUGUCACACAAGUGCUGUAUGCCCUAUUGUAGGGGAAACUACGACAACGGUUUAACAGUUAGCAUCUUUUCAUUCCCGUCUGAUGAAGCAUUAAGAUUGAAACGGAUCGCUGCAGUUCAUAGGAAUGACUGGGAACCCAGUAAACAGUUCGUUAUAUGUGAACUGAUUUCACUGCAGACGACAUUGAGAAAAUUACCAGUGCUUACGACCCAAAACUGGCAAACUCUUUACAGCACCUUUGGACCGUCCACGUUUAAAGAAACGUUCGUGAAAAUUUAUCGUAAAGGGUACUUGUAAUCAGUUUUCAGAUUAAUGUUCAGAUGCCGUACCUUCAAAGUUGCAAGGAUGAACUACGUAUUU